rnacentral:rRNA from 1 species
UACGUAGGGUGCGAGCGUUGUCCGGAUUUACUGGGCGUAAAGAGCGCGUAGGCGGAAGGUUAAGCGUGGCUUGAAAGCCCCCGGCUCAACCGGGGAGGGCGGCUGCGAACUGGCCUUCUUGAGGUCGAUAGAGGAGAGCGGAAUUCCUGGUGUAGCGGUGAAAUGCGUAGAUAUCAGGAGGAACACCCGUGGCGAAGGCGGCUCUCUGGGUCGGACCUGACGCUGAGGCGCGAAAGCGUGGGGAGCGAACGGG